UACAGAGGGCUCAAGCGUUGUUCGGAUUCAUUGGGCGUAAAGGGUGCGUAGGCGGCGCGGUAAGUCGGGUGUGAAAUCUCGGAGCUUAACUCCGAAACUGCAUUCGAUACUGAAGAUCUUGAGUUCGGGAGAGGUGAGUGGAACUGCGAGUGUAGAGGUGAAAUUCGUAGAUAUUCGCAAGAACACCAGGGGCGAAGGCGGCUCACUGGCGCGAUACUGACGGUGAGGGGCGGAAGGGGGGGGAGCAAACAGG
rnacentral:rRNA from 1 species